GACGAACGCUGGCGGCGUGCUUAACACAUGCAAGUCGAACGGAAAGGCCCUGCUUUUUUGGGGUGCUCGAGUGGCUAACGGGUGAGUAACACGUGAGUAACCUGCCCUUGACUUUGGGAUAACUUCAGGAAACUGGGGCUAAUACCGGAUAGGAGCUCCUGCUGCAUGGUGGGGGUUGGAUAGUUUCGGCGGUUGGGGAUGGACUCGCGGCUUAUCAGCUUGUUGGUGGGGUAUUGGCUGACCAAGGCUUUGACGGGUAGCCGGCCUGAGAGGGUGACCGGCCACAUUGGGACUGAGAGACGGACCAGAGGGCUACGGGAGGCAGAAGGGGGGAAUAUUGCACAAUGGGCGGAAGCCUGAUGCAGCAACGCCGCGUGCGGGAUGAAGGCCUUCGGGUUGUAAACCGAUUUCGCCUGUGACGAAGCGUGAGUGACGGUAAUGGGUAAAGAAGCACCGGCUAACUACGUG
rnacentral:rRNA from 1 species